rnacentral:lncRNA from 1 species
UUAUAUCGGUAGACUUUGGAUAUAUGUCUACAUAAGCAAAUUGUUUUUUUUUGUCUAACCGCAUAAUCCAAACACUACAUAUUAUCCAAGAUUGAUAGCCUAAGUCGUAUAAGUUUAAUUUUUUUUUUUCCUUUUUUGCUACAGAUAUUAGAGUACAAUCUUUCAUAUAUUAAAUUUGAUAGAUGUUAGGUUAAUAUAACAACUUUGUAUAUAUUAGUAAAUACUUGGCUACUCGAAUUGGGUAUCCGAAAAUUGUAUUAAUAUUUUAAGAAGAUGAUUGCAUGCAUAUUAGGGAUUGGUUUGGUAUAAUUGAGAUGUUGAUGGAACUGUCCAUUUUCCAAACCGGGGGCUCAAGUGUUCUUAACGCAUCAGUAUCAAGUUCUACGCCAGAAGACAAAACCCCUUUUCUAGUUAUGUCUUUGUAGUUGUACAACGGGUACACACAGAAACCAUAUCACGUGUCAUCUCCCUUGGAUUGUCACCGCACGUGUGGGCUCGAAUCUCAUACUAACCACUUACUAUUCGUGUCAUGUCUAUGUUUUGCAUUCGUAACCAUUUAUUAAGGAAUCUAUACAACGUGACCAUUGUCGACUUUUCUUCUUUAUAUUUCUCGCUACUUCUUUUUUUUUUUUUUGUUAAAACUAAAUAAGUAAAUAUAGUUGCUAUGUGCUAUAUAGAAAGACAUCGUAAAUUUCUUUUUGAGGUUUCUAAAGUGAAGUCUGAGGUUUGAUUAUGUGAUCAAAUCGGAUAAAGAGGAGCCAUCAAUUUUAGGACCUUGGUCCUUGAAAGUAUACAGAUCUUUCAAGAUGAAAACCCCAUUAGUGUUUUUAUUUAUUUUAUUUUCGGGACUAAUCCUUGUCAAACUUUACUUGUGCAUGAGCUAUCUAAUGUUUCGUUUUCCAUUUUAUUUUUCUUUUGCUUUCAUGAUUUAUA